CGUGUAGGCGGUUUGAUAAGUCUGAUGUGAAAGCCCUGGGCUCAACCCAGGAAGUGCAUUGGAUACUGUCAGACUUGAAUACGGGAGAGGGUAGUGGAAUUCCUAGUGUAGGAGUGAAAUCCGUAGAUAUUAGGAGGAACACCGGUGGCGAAGGCGGCUACCUGGACCGAUAUUGACGCUGAGACGCGAAAGCGUGGGUAGCAAACA
rnacentral:rRNA from 1 species